UUGGUAUUUUAACUAUAGCUGCAUACAGGAAGUAGAAUUAAUGCAAUUCGAAAACAGGUGUAAUGCUGGCUCCGGUCAGUAUUUCUGUUGGAAAUUUGAAAGGGCGUACGGACAUUGAACUAUUACAAAAAAUCUAAUCCUUUGACCCCCAAUUUUCUCCAUUGCUGUUUAGUACUUGGUAAGUUACCAAUGUAAAAACAUGGUUUCCAGGCACCUUGCUUCUGCAGGAAAGUGGCAGUUUGUUGUUGAAACUGGCUUAAAAAGGCUCGGAAACACACAUAAUUCUGAUGUUUUGAUUUGAAAUAAUCAAUACUAAAACAUUUUGCCCCAACUCAUUUGAUUUGAAUGUUACUGAUUUUUCAGAAGGCACAGCCUCAACCAUUCUGGCAAUGUGCUUGGUUUAUUUUCAGAUUUGCGAGGUGACCAGUUUCCAGACAUUGGUUCGCUCCUGCUUGUGUACGCGAUUGGCCGAGACUAAAAAAACUGUAGUGUGCCACCUUAAUUAAGGUAAAACGACAAAUUUCCAAAAUGAUCAAACACCCAUGAAACAUGCUUUUGCUUAAUUAUAUAUUCCUAAGGUUUUGUUUUUUAACAGAGUGUUUGCCCAUAACACUAUUGUAUGACCAAUACUGUUCGUAAAUCAAGGGAGGUAAUUCGGAAUCAUGUUUACUGGUUUCUGCAAUUCUCAAACAGUUCUGUAUGAAGAAUGUGCUCAAUUUGUAGCCGGUAUGGACAACUUACUACUCUGUGGUGAAGAAGGGCUUUAUAUUCAUAUAAUGUCAAAAAUUAUAGCAAACAAUAUAAGAAUCCAAUCAAAGCAAUGAUUCAAAAUGGCCGUUUGGGCAGAAUUUAGUACGGUUAAGGACCUAUCGCCUGGUAACAAUCUUGUUAACAUUGUUUCCAUGUUAACAUUGUGCAUGCUUUCGCAUUGAAAUCAGUGUGGAAUGUCAUUUAUUUCAGGUUUUAGUCGUUUGCUUGUAAGGCAAGAUAGUCCCUGGAGAAGAACUAAAAUACGUCAACAGCCUUGUCAGCGGAAAGACACUCCGUUGCAGUUACUGAAGGUAAAACGACAUCUUCAGUGGGCUAGGUAAAUGUUGGCAUGUUUGUCGGAAUGUGUUUCCUGGUCUAUACCGAAAUGUCCUGCGUGCUUUGUUUAAUCUAUAACUGCGCCACAACUUACUUUUCGCCAUUGUGCGCAAUUCAACUGAUGAUAUAUAUAAGCAAAUAAAAAGUUAUUGUGAAGAAGUGACUCUUGCAAGUGCCUCACAUUGUUGUAUGCCUUUUAACAAUGAUCUGAGCUUACUAGAAGUUUUACUUUUUCUGUUUCCAAGAAAUAUGGGUUAAUAUUUAUCUCAGAUGUCAAUUUUUAGGCAAUCAUUAGUGUCAUAUCAGGGGUAUUUCCUCAAUAUGUCAGCCCCAAUUAUUUAUGCUAUGAUUGGGUUGUCUCCCUUGCAUGGGCCUGUUUAAGGGAUUACUUCACAGGGGCCUUAAAUGGUGUGUUUUUACAACAGAUUAAAGGUACAAAUGCUUAACUUGCCUUUCAAGAUCAUGCUAAGCAUGCAAUUUAUUUAUAUUUUUAUUACUUUAAGCAAAAACAUGUGCAUUUGUUGUGAGAGCUGUAAAAAUCUAAGCAAUGCCAAGUAUUUAUUGGCCCAAAACUGCGUGUUUUUGUGUUGCUUCUUUGAUAAAGUUAUGAUUUAAAGGCUGACCAAGUCACCUGCACUACCAUUUGUCAUCUCAAUGUGAUUAAGACUUCAUUUAAUUGUUGCAAUAUGUUUCUGUGAGGUAGCUUUUCACUACCAUGACUUCUACAAUGACCCUGAAAAUGGCAUAGAAAAAAAAGGGAAAACAGGGGUCGGAUUAAACGCUUUAUAAAUAACAAACAAGCCUUCAGACUUGGUCAAAAAUGUAUUAUAUUUGCUUGUUUUUGUCCAAAUUUCAAGAAAACAAGUCCAUAUUUUGCAGUUCUAAGACUUUGCUUGCCCUUAAUUAAGGUAAAACGACAAAUUUCCAAAAUGAUCAAACACCCAUGAAACAUGCUUUUGCUUAAUUAUAUAUUCCUAAGGUUUUGUUUUUUAACAGAGUGUUUGCCCAUAACACUAUUGUAUGACCAAUACUGUUCGUAAAUCAAGGGAGGUAAUUCGGAAUCAUGUUUACUGGUUUCUGCAAUUCUCAAACAGUUCUGUAUGAAGAAUGUGCUCAAUUUGUAGCCGGUAUGGACAACUUACUACUCUGUGGUGAAGAAGGGCUUUAUAUUCAUAUAAUGUCAAAAAUUAUAGCAAACAAUAUAAGAAUCCAAUCAAAGCAAUGAUUCAAAAUGGCCGUUUGGGCAGAAUUUAGUACGGUUAAGGACCUAUCGCCUGGUAACAAUCUUGUUAACAUUGUUUCCAUGUUAACAUUGUGCAUGCUUUCGCAUUGAAAUCAGUGUGGAAUGUCAUUUAUUUCAGGUUUUAGUCGUUUGCUUGUAAGGCAAGAUAGUCCCUGGAGAAGAACUAAAAUACGUCAACAGCCUUGUCAGCGGAAAGACACUCCGUUGCAGUUACUGAAGAUUUGCGAGGUGACCAGUUUCCAGACAUUGGUUCGCUCCUGCUUGUGUACGCGAUUGGCCGAGACUAAAAAAACUGUAGUGUGCCACCUUAAUUAAGGUUUUAGUCGUUUGCUUGUAAGGCAAGAUAGUCCCUGGAGAAGAACUAAAAUACGUCAACAGCCUUGUCAGCGGAAAGACACUCCGUUGCAGUUACUGAAGGUAAAACGACAUCUUCAGUGGGCUAGGUAAAUGUUGGCAUGUUUGUCGGAAUGUGUUUCCUGGUCUAUACCGAAAUGUCCUGCGUGCUUUGUUUAAUCUAUAACUGCGCCACAACUUACUUUUCGCCAUUGUGCGCAAUUCAACUGAUGAUAUAUAUAAGCAAAUAAAAAGUUAUUGUGAAGAAGUGACUCUUGCAAGUGCCUCACAUUGUUGUAUGCCUUUUAACAAUGAUCUGAGCUUACUAGAAGUUUUACUUUUUCUGUUUCCAAGAAAUAUGGGUUAAUAUUUAUCUCAGAUGUCAAUUUUUAGGCAAUCAUUAGUGUCAUAUCAGGGGUAUUUCCUCAAUAUGUCAGCCCCAAUUAUUUAUGCUAUGAUUGGGUUGUCUCCCUUGCAUGGGCCUGUUUAAGGGAUUACUUCACAGGGGCCUUAAAUGGUGUGUUUUUACAACAGAUUAAAGGUACAAAUGCUUAACUUGCCUUUCAAGAUCAUGCUAAGCAUGCAAUUUAUUUAUAUUUUUAUUACUUUAAGCAAAAACAUGUGCAUUUGUUGUGAGAGCUGUAAAAAUCUAAGCAAUGCCAAGUAUUUAUUGGCCCAAAACUGCGUGUUUUUGUGUUGCUUCUUUGAUAAAGUUAUGAUUUAAAGGCUGACCAAGUCACCUGCACUACCAUUUGUCAUCUCAAUGUGAUUAAGACUUCAUUUAAUUGUUGCAAUAUGUUUCUGUGAGGUAGCUUUUCACUACCAUGACUUCUACAAUGACCCUGAAAAUGGCAUAGAAAAAAAAGGGAAAACAGGGGUCGGAUUAAACGCUUUAUAAAUAACAAACAAGCCUUCAGACUUGGUCAAAAAUGUAUUAUAUUUGCUUGUUUUUGUCCAAAUUUCAA